CCUGCAAGCCAGCACACACAUCGUUACAGGUAUGUAUCCCUGCCCUUACCUCCCUGGGUUCUCUAAAGAGGGCAAAGAUCUCCAGCAAGAACUACAGCUCACAGUCUUGUGGGUAAAGAGAGCACGCACUUUGGUUCCCCCCACUGAAAUCCCACCAAAAUGGAAGUAAAGGAAAAAGUAUCCACACAGAGUAAGAAAGGAGGAGUAUGGAGAGUGAUGUCAUAAAGAUGGUGACACAACUUGUUCACGGCUUCACUUUCCCUCAAAAGAAGAACAGCUAUUCAUAGAGACACACCAUGAACAAAUCCUACAACACAGCAGUGAGGCUGAAGUGCCCUGCACUAUGGACACUGAGACCGACUCUGUUUGAAGGAUCGCAGCUGAAUCUGUGAGGCCCAGCUGCUGAGAAUCGGAUUGUGACCAGAGGGCUUCCAACAACCAGCACUCAGAUCUCCACAGCCUGAGUCCCUACCUGCAGGGCCCAAGUACUGCCAGGGCAAGGAAGGUAAUUCCAGCCUCACCUACUGCUGAGUCGAGUAGCCAUCCUGACUGUCUAGCAAGCCUGACCAGAGAAUCCAGGCAGCUGUGAAGCCGAUGCUCCAGCCUCACGGGUGCAGGGAAAGAAACCAGCUGUCCUACCUGAUCUCAGCCAGUGGCAUAUUCAGAGUGGAAAAAAGUGCCUCAAGCCAAAACAGAACUUAACAGCAGGUCCUUUCACCCAUAGGAGAGAAAGCCAGAAACCCAAAUUGAGCUGACUAGUGAAGAACUGUAUCUGCACACUUCCAGAGGUACAAUGAAUUCUUCGAAAAAGAAUUCAAAACAGGGCCCACUGUCAAGAAGCCCACUUCCAAUCUCUUGCAUGCCUAUAAACUAACAAUGAAAAAUCAGAGAAAUUAAGCAGACUCCCAUUUACCACUCAAACAAAAAGAAUAAAAUACCCAGGAAUAAACCUA